ensembl:miRNA mir181b-2 microRNA mir-181b-2
UCCAGGAGUCAACCUUAAGGCUGCAAUAAACAUUCAUUGCUGUCGGUGGGUUUAUGCAGGAACAACUCACUGAUCAAUGAAUGCAAACUGCGGUUCGCACAUCCUGCUGA